rnacentral:lncRNA from 1 species
UGUUGAAGGUUCAAAGCAAUCACCAGACUGCAGAUAAUAAAUCAGUUACCCAGCUUCUUUGAAUUAAUGAAAAAAUGGAGUCUUAAAACUAGUUUACUAGUAAUGAAAAAUGUUACUAACGUUUCUAUUAGGUAAUUAGAUGUUACUAUCCAUCUUUUUACAUAUGGAUGCAAAAAUGAAGGUAUUACAGCAGUGACUAUUUUGAGACUAUGGAAGUCAGUGACAAGGUUUGUCUGUAUCAGACUUUCUGCCUUGACUACAGCUUCCAACAGGCUGACCAGCUGAGGAUUUAACUGCUUUGGCACCUUACUCUGCUCAAACUGUUGUGGUUCCACUUGGAAAUAUUUAAAACAAAGCAAAAGGGUCUUCCAGAGACCAGCAGAGUUACAAAUAAAGAAGUAUUUGAGAAGCA